CCUACGGGUGGCAGCAGUGAGGAAUAUUGGUCAAUGGACGCAAGUCUGAACCAGCCAAGUAGCGUGCAGGAUGACGGCCCUCCGGGUUGUAAACUGCUUUUAGUGGGGAGUAAAAGGGGGCACGUGAGCCCCGUAUUGUAUGUACCAUCAGAAAAAGGACCGGCUAAUUCCGUGCCAGCAGCCGCGGUAAUACGGAGGAUGCGAGCGUUUUCCGGAUUUAUUGGGUUUAAGGGGUGCGUAGGCGGACUGUUAAGUCAGCGGUAAAAGCGCGGGGCUCAACCCCGUCGCGCCGUUGAAACUGGCUGUCUUGAGAGGAAGAGAGGUAUGCGGAAUGCGCGGUGUAGCGGUGAAAUGCUUAGAUAUUGCGCAGAACUCCGAUUGCGAAGGCAGCAUGCCGGCGCUCGACUGACGCUGAAGCACGAAAGUGUGGGGAUCGAACAGGAUUAGAUACCCGUGUAGUC
rnacentral:rRNA from 1 species